rnacentral:rRNA from 1 species
UACGGGGGGAGCAAGCGUUGUCCGGAUUGACUGGGCGUAAAGCGCACGCAGGCGGCACCGCGCGUGGGGUGUGAAAUCUGGCCGCUUAACGGCCAGGCGCCAUCCCAUACGGCGGAGCUGGAGUGAUGCAGAGGUCGAUGGAAUUGCCGGUGUAGUGGUGAAAUGCGUAGAGAUCGGCAGGAACACCCAGGGGGAAACCAGUCGACUGGGCAUCUACUGACGCUGAGGUGCGAGAGCGUGGGGAGCGAACAGG